UGUUAAGACAUAUACUUAUUAUGCAGUCUUUAAAAUAUGCUAUUUUGGUAACACUGGAUUGUUCAGUUAGAUAAAACAUUAAACCAGCAAUAGAGAACAUGAAGGUAAGGUACAAGAAACAUCAAAUGAUCUUGUAUAAUCUCUGUUCUGAAGCAUGUUUUUAACACAAUGCUGUAAGGACGUUUAGGUUAUGGCCCAUAAAUCCGAGUGAUCUGAUUGUGCGCACUGUUUUCACCAUGCAGUAGCAAGUGCAGUGGUUUCCACAGUAACUGAGACUGGAAAUCAUUUAAUAAAUGGGCAAAUACCAAACAGCAAAAGUCAAGUAGAGGCAAAUAUUUACUUUGCUUGGUCAAAGUACUGUAAAUACACUACCACAGCUUCAAGCUUGCUCAGUGACAAAGGCUGUCCCUGGGAUUUCACAAUUCUGAGUGAGAAUACAAAGGUCACUGCAAUGUUUAAAUAAUCAUUUUGUUUCAUGUUCACGACCGUCCAAAAGUUUGAGGUUAGUAGAAUGUUUUGUUUUUUUGUUUUUGAAAGAAGCCAUGGCUGCAUUUAUUUAAUGAAAAAUAAUUGCAAUAUUCUAAAAUUAUUGCAAUUUAAAAUAACUGUUUUCUGUUUUACAUUUAAUUAUUCAUUCAUGUGACCGCAAAGCUGAAUUGUUACAUGAUAAGAAAUCAUGGUGAUUUUUUUGUUUGUUUGUUCAAGCAACAUUUCUUAUUAUUAUCAAUGUUGAAAACAAUUGUACUCCUUAAUAUUUUUUGUGAAAACCGUGAGAAAUUCUUUCAGGAUU